GAUGAACGCUGGCGGCGUGCCUAAUACAUGCAAGUCGAGCGAACAGAUGAGGAGCUUGCUCCUCUGACGUUAGCGGCGGACGGGUGAGUAACACGUGGAUAACCUACCUAUAAGACUGGGAUAACUUCGGGAAACCGGAGCUAAUACCGGAUAAUAUAUUGAACCGCGUGGUUCAAUAGUGAAAGACGGUUUUGCUGUCACUUAUAGAUGGAUCCGCGCCGCAUUAGCUAGUUGGUAAGGUAACGGCUUACCAAGGCAACGAUGCGUAGCCGACCUGAGAGGGAGAACGGCCACACUGGAACUGAGACACGGUCCAGACUCCUACGGGAGGCAGCAGUAGGGAAUCUUCCGCGAUGGGCGAGAGCCUGACGGAGCGACACGGCGGGAGGGAUGAAGGUCCCCGGAUCGGAAAACGCUGUUAGUAGGAAAAAACAAAUAUGUAUGUAACUAUGCACGUCUUGACGGUACCUAAUCAGAAAGCCACGGCUAACUACGUG
rnacentral:rRNA from 1 species